rnacentral:rRNA from 1 species
UACGGAGGGUGCAAGCGUUAUCCGGAUUCACUGGGUUUAAAGGGUGCGUAGGCGGGCAGGUAAGUCCGUGGUGAAAUCUCUGAGCUUAACUCAGAAACUGCCAUGGAUACUAUUUGUCUUGAAUGUUGUGGAGGUGAGCGGAAUAUGUCAUGUAGCGGUGAAAUGCUUAGAUAUGACAUAGAACACCAAUUGCGAAGGCAGCUCACUACACAAAUAUUGACGCUGAGGCACGAAAGCGUGGGGAUCAAACAGG